UACGUAGGGUGCGAGCGUUGUCCGGAAUUAUUGGGCGUAAAGAGCUCGUAGGCGACUUGUCGCGUCGGAUGUGAAAGCCCGGGGCUUAACUCCGGGUCUGCAUUCGAUACGGGCAGGCUAGAGUUCGGUAGGGGAGAUCGGAAUUCCUGGUGUAGCGGUGAAAUGCGCAGAUAUCAGGAGGAACACCGGUGGCGAAGGCGGAUCUCUGGGCCGAUACUGACGCUGAGGAGCGAAAGCGUGGGGAGCGAACAGG
rnacentral:rRNA from 1 species